UAUAGCAAUAGCUACUUGCAUCAUUGUACGAUGAUGCAAGAUCGACUAUGUCGAAUAAAAUUCUAGGUAGAAUUAUGAUAAUGACAUUGUCUGCCUAUGUGUCUUGACCAAAUUACGUGCCAGCAGUCGCGGUAAUACGUAGAAGACUAGUGUUAUUCAUGUUUAAUCGGUUUAAAGGGUACCUAGACGGUAAAUCAAGCUUUCCAAGAAAUAAAGUUAAAGGACUAAUUUACUAGAGUUACUUAUGAGGGGGUAUUAAAGUACUGCUGGUGUAGAGAUGAAAUUCUGUCAUACCUCUUUUCAAAAGAAAAACGAUGGCACAGGUAUAGGCGAAGGCAUCCCCUUAUGUGAUAACUGACGUUGAGGGACGAAGGCUUUGUAUAGCGAACAGGAUUAGAUACCCCAGUAGUCUAAGCAGAAAAUGAUGAAUGUCAUAGAUUAGAUGUAAGUUUAUUCUAUAAAUGAAAGUGUAAGCAUUCCACCUCAUGAGUAAUUUGGCAACAUUGGAACUGAAAUCAUUAGACCGUUUCUGAAACCAGUAGUGAAGUAUGUUGUUUAAUUUGAUGAUCCGCAAAAAACCUUACCACAAUUUGAAUAUUUAUAUUUUUUUAUUGUUUUCUUCUUAAUUUUUUUCU
rnacentral:rRNA from 1 species